ACACGUGUAGCUGGAGCGCCUAUUGCAUAACGAUUCUUAAAGUGUCGAAAUUAAGAGGCAGACGGAGCUCCUUUACUGCCCAAGUAUCUAGGUCAGUGCUACUCACAGCAUGGGACUGGCCAGUUUCCUUGGAGAUCGGUUAUCUGAUAUAACCAGGAUGGUCAAAACUGCCACGUUUUAUUUUGAAUAUAUUGCAACCGUUGUGCGUGUACACCUAUAGUAAAUAGUGUUUUUUCUACUCUACGAAUUAUACAUUAGAAGAUUGGGGAUAUAUAUGCUACAAAAACCGCAGUAAGAAAAAAAACAGACUGUGUGCCUCUGCAACAGAUGUAGAGAUAGGGAAGGACGGGUUCCGUUUUUCAAAGACCGUGAAGGUGAAGGGAAAAAAGGGAAGAAAGAAAAAAAAGCAAGGAGGUAACCCAAGCCACUGAACAUGCUGAAGCCAGUGACCCGGACAGUGAUCAGACCCUACAGUUCGAUUGUUACUAAGGAAUUUACAUAGACAAAGAAAUAUGCUAGCGAUUCUUUUUAAUUCUAAAAAGUGUUUAAAUGUAUUGUAAAUUUUUACUAAGAAAAAAUAAAAUCUGUAUACUAUG